GGGCGAGUUUAAGAUUCGAUUGCAGGCGGAGGAAGAGAAAAGCAUACCAAAGGCUCGGCUUUGUAAAAACGGAAAUUAAAUUUAAACGCAGAAUCCAAAGAUUCGAAAGUAGUAUCCUUCCCCUCGAUGAGAGCGGCAGGCUACGCUUGCGCUGCUUAACUUAAAGCAGUCCGUCAACCGAAGAAGCCGCCGGCUUCGGAAGGCGCUAUUAAGGCGGCAAACCCAGACUUUGUUUUACCGCGCAAGGCAUGGGUAAUUUAAGCGGUAUGCUCCCCGCGUUUUCCCGUCCGUCGGAAAACCGAGGCUAAGAUAACGGCGGAAUAAGUAUGUAGAAAGCUGUUUCGAACCUUGUAAGACUCGGGUGCAAGUCCCGACUCGUCCACCA
rnacentral:tmRNA from 1 species